CACGUAGGGGGCGAGCGUUGUCCGGAUUUAUUGGGCGUAAAGCGCGUGUAGGCGGCUCUUCAAGUCAGGCGUGAAAGCCCCGGGCUCAACUCGGGAACUGCGCUUGAUACUGUCGAGCUAGAGUGUGGAAGGGGCGAUUGGAAUUCCGUGUGUAGCGGUGAAAUGCGUAGAUAUACGGAGGAACACCAGAGGCGAAGGCGGAUCGCUGGGCCAACACUGACGCUGAGACGCGAAAGCUAGGGUAGCAAACGGG
rnacentral:rRNA from 1 species